UACGUAGGGUUCAAGCGUUAUCCGGAUUUAUUGGGCGUAAAGCACAUGUAGGUGGAUUGAUGCGUCUCGGCUUAAAGCUCUGGGCUUAACCCAGAAUCUGGCUGAGAUACGGUCUUUCUUGUGGUCAGCAGGGGCAAACGGAAUUCCCGGUGUAGGAGUGAAAUCCGUUGAUAUCGGGAGGAACACCAAUGGCGAAGGCAGUUUGCUAGGCUGAUUCAGACACUGAGAUGUGAAAGCGUGGGGAGCGAACGGG
rnacentral:rRNA from 1 species